AGGAGUCCGGCAUGGCUCCGGCGUGCGCCACCAGGACACGGCACGAGGUUUGCCCUGUGCGACCAGACCGUGGCAGGACAGCCCCCGGCUCCCCGCCUUCCACGGAGGGGUCACGGCCAGGCCCUGCCAGGCUACCUGCUUCCCCGGGGCCCUGCCCAGGCUGGAGCCCCACUGCUCGGGCCCCUCUUCCCCGAGGGUGGUGGGUGCUCGUGCCCCCCCGACCCCCCAGCUGGAGCAUCCCGCCCACCCUGGGCCCCCCCAGCUCAGGGCGCAGACGCAGUCCAGGGAGGCCUCGGAGGUCACCAGACGGGGACGAUAUGCUGGACGAACCACAUCCCCAAUAUCAAAUACAGGAUUUUAGGGGAACCUUGGACUCCUAGAGAAGAGGUACGUUUGAGAUGAGUAGAAGGAAAGGCUGUUCCACACGGCGGACGGCAAGUCUGCAGAAGGCGCCCGUAGGAGCCAUUCGAAAUGGGACCUGCUCUCCCGAGGGGCCUGUGCUCCCCCGGGCCAGACUCUGGCCUGGAACAGCUGCUGAGACCAGGGCUGGUGUAGACGGGAGCGGGCUCGUCAGGCCCCCGGGAGCCCCGCUGACUGCCGCCCGGACGCAUCCCCAGGGCCUCAGACUCCUGUGAGGAAUUUGUUAAAAGGAGAAGCUCUGGUGCCACCUGCUGCUUUCAGCCUGCAGCUGGCUCCUCGCGGGCCCCUACAGGGACAGCCUGGAAGCCAGGCUCCACCCAGAGACCAGAGGGAGGAAGCUCAGGCCCCCACGAGACGGCCCCCCUGGAGCCCAGGGGACGAGCACAGAGGUAUCGCAGCGCCAAAUGGCGAAUCCAGCCCCGACUCCAACAGGGACAGACGCUACUCAAAGUGUUCUGGCGGCAGGUGGAACCGGCCCCAUCGUUCCCCGGGACUCACCCUUAAUUCAUCACAAAAGGAGUGACUUCAGGAUGGGGUAUCAGUGCUCCCCGCAGAGCUCCCGGGGCCUCCUCGCAUCACCCCACAUCUGCCUGGCCCGGAGGGUGGGGCAUCCUGAAGAAGGUUCCAGAAGCAAGGCCAGCUACCCCCCUGCCCCGCGGCUGCACUGUCUGAGCCCGCCUGAACCGCCGAGGUCACUGCUGCAGGAGCCCGUGUCCUGGACUCGACGGGCCACCCUGCCCCUCACCGCCCCCCCCAGGGUUGGCCGGGAACCAGGAGCUGCUUCCCCAGGCACAGGGGGAGCCUCUGCAGGAGGCUGAGCGCCCCCCUGCCCCCAUCCCCCGGGCGCACAAAG
rnacentral:lncRNA from 1 species